rnacentral:rRNA from 1 species
CAGUCGCCACGGUAAUACGAAGGGGGCUAGCGUUGUUCGGAUUUACUGGGCGUAAAGGGCGCGUAGGCGGACUGAUAAGUCAGGGGUGAGAUCCCAAGGCUCAACCUUGGAACUGCCUUUGAUACUGUUUGUCUUGGGUUCGAGAGAGGUAAGUGGAACUGCGAGUGUAGAGGUGAAAUUCGUAGAUAUUCGCAAGAACACCAGUGGCGAAGGCGGCUUACUGGCUCGAAACUGACGCUGAGGCGCGAAAGCGUGGGGAGCAAACAGGAUUAGAUACCCCUGUAGUCCCUGUCUCUUAUAC